GAUGAACGCUGGCGGCGUGCCUAAUACAUGCAAGUCGAGCGAACAGAUAAGGAGCUUGCUCCUUUGACGUUAGCGGCGGACGGGUGAGUAACACGUGGGUAACCUACCUAUAAGACUGGGAUAACUUCGGGAAACCGGAGCUAAUACCGGAUAAUAUUUCGAACCGCAUGGUUCGAUAGUGAAAGAUGGUUUUGCUAUCACUUAUAGAUGGACCCGCGCCGUAUUAGCUAGUUGGUAAGGUAACGGCUUACCAAGGCGACGAUACGUAGCCGACCUGAGAGGGUGAUCGGACACACUGGAACUGAGACACGGUCCAGACUCCUACGGGAGGCAGCAGUAGGGAAUCUUCCGCAAUGGGCGAAAGCCUGACGGAGCAACGCCGCGUGAGUGAUGAAGGUCUUCGGAUCGUAAAACUCUGUUAUUAGGGAAGAACAUACGUGUAAGUAACUGUGCACGUCUUGACGGUACCUAAUCAGAAAGCCACGGCUAACUACGUG
rnacentral:rRNA from 1 species